rnacentral:rRNA from 1 species
AUUGAACGCUGGCGGCAGGCUUAACACAUGCAAGUCGAGCGGAGAGAGGUAGCUUGCUACUGAUCUUAGCGGCGGACGGGUGAGUAAUGCUUAGGAAUCUGCCUAUUAGUGGGGGACAACAUUUCGAAAGGAAUGCUAAUACCGCAUACGUCCUAAGGGAGAAAGCCGGGGAUCUUCGGACCUUGCGCUAAUAGAUGAGUCUAAGUCGGAUUAGCUAGUUGGUGGGGUAAAGGCCUACCAAGGCGACGAUCUGUAGCGGGUCUGAGAGGAUGAUCCGCCACACUGGGACUGAGACACGGCCCAGACUCCUACGGGAGGCAGCAGUGGGGAAUAUUUGACAAUGGGCGGAAGCCUGAUCCAGCCAUGCCGCGUGUGUGAAGAAGGCCUUAUGGUUGUAAAGCACUUUAAGCGAGGAGGAGGCUACUUUAGUUAAUACCUAGAGAUAGUGGACGUUACUCGCAAAAUAAGCACCGGCUAACUCCGUGCCAGCCGCCGCCGUAAAAC